AAAGCUUUAAGUUAAUUAAACUCUAAACCUUCAAAGUUUAAAAUAAAAGUACAGCCUAUUAGGCUUUA
rnacentral:tRNA from 1 species